ensembl:lncRNA
AUACAAAACCAGCCAAGACGAAUGAUUUUCUGUUUUUUAUAGAUUAAAAUUGAAGACAGAAAGCAGCUGGUAAAUGCCGUCACUUUAAUAUUCAAAUCCAGUAUCAUGAUCCACUUCAGAUUUAUUUCUCAACAGUUUAUAUUCACGUGGCUGUUUUCGUUUAUAUUCGCCAAGCUAUUAUGUAUUUUGAAAUAAUCUUGUACGCGAUUUGUUCGUUCUUGCGACGAAAAGCCAGAAUCAGCGUCCUCUGGCGCUCGAGAGAUCGAUGUUAUUCUGCCCUUAGACUGUCUCGCGCUGUCAAAUAGUAUUUCUUUUCACAAUUAAACAGCUAAAAAACACCUGAAUUCAGCUCUUGUUGUGUUCUAAUGGGUGGAUUGUGUGCAUUCGCGGUAAUAUUUUGUUUUAAAAAGCUCUUAAAACUAUAAAAAUGCUUUUAUUGUGAGCUCCUCGUGAGACUGCACGCGCUGAUGCAGCGGUGAUUUCUCUCUGGUCUUUCUCACUGUUCUGGCCAGACAUCAAUUAUUAAUGAGAUCUGAGCCGGUAAUAAUAACAUAUGUUGGUUCAGCUUGUCAGUGUGAAUGAAACGUGUAUUUAUUUGUCCGUUCUCGCCGAAAAACCAUCACCGUGUUCUGGAGCGCAGAGCAAUCGAUGUGAUGUUCAGCCCUUAGACAAAGAAAAUCUCACAAGCACUCAUAAACACUCAUUUUCAUCUGUGUAAUAUGUUCUUCUAAUUGUUUUGUGUUGAUUCGCCGUAGUGUUUUCAUGUAAAAGACUGUAGUUUCUGUAUGUAGAUUUUUUCCCUUCAAGUUGUUCAGAAGUCUCGCGCUGUCAGGCUGCAGCAAAUAUUUCAUUUUAACACUCACAAACAUCUGAAUUUAGCUCUUGGUGUGUUCUAAUUGGCGGAUUGUGUGCAAUCGCCGUAAUAUUUUAUUUUUAAAAG